CCACAGCGAAGCCGGCUGCAGCUGUCCCCUACCCAAGCAUGACAUCGAUGUUCUGCAGAGACUUCUGGCACCUGGGAGGCUGACAACUAAAGUCUCAUUCUGUAACCAAUGCUGGCUCUGAACUCACAGAAACCCUCCUGCCUCAGCUUUGCAAGUGCUAGGAUUACAGGCUGAUGUCACCAAACUGGGUCUUUUCUCAGCUUCCUUCUGAAUUCUCCAGCAGUGGAUGUAGGGAUGGAGCUCUGUGUAUGAGAUAAUCCUGAACACUCUGAUGAUAUCCUCCCCCAAACUUGCUACCAAAUAGCUAGAAGAUUCUCCACACUCAGAGUUGACAGCCCAUGGCCCUGAUUGAGGCGGUCUCCAGACGUCAGAGUCCUCUGGCCAGAGCAGGCCUGUUUGCAUGUGACAAGAUGGAACCCAUUAGCGCUCAGCUCCUCAGUGUUGCUUGUUUCUGAGCAACAAGUGCUGGUACCAAAUCAGAUCUUGGGCAUCAAGAUGAAGAAGACGCUGUCUCUUUACUCAAGGUUCACUCGCUCUGCUUUCUGCUUGCCUUUGGAGAGGUGAGCACUCAGGUUCCCGCUCCUGUAACUUGCCACCAUGCCUCCCUGCCAUGCUGGACUCUUAUCUCUCUGGAAGCUGAAGCCCAAAUAAACUCUUCCUUCCAGGACUGGAGUUUGAUUCCCAGCGUCCACAGAGGCUCACGACCAUCUGUAACUCCAGUUCCAGGAAAUCUGAACCCUCUUCUGGUUUCUUGGUCAC